UUCAGUCGCUUGAUAACGAUGAGGACCGUCAUUGCUUAAAUAGCAUUCAAGAUCAACACUUCUAUUUAGAAGUUUAGACCCGACCUCAAUAUUUUGGAAGAAGUUCAUACUGAGGCUUUUGCAGAUUUCAUUCUGAACAGUACGAUGGCCAUACAAGCUCAAGUUGCGGUACCACUUCAAUCAGGAUCAUUUGAAAAUAUAAAGUUGAAAAUACACAAGAGAAUAAACAUGCCAUUUAACUCAAUUUGCGGAUGUUGCAUAAUGCCGAAUGGUAAAAUUGCUAUUACCUGUGAUAAAGAUAAAGUAAGAGUAAUUAACAUUGACGAAACUCAAGACUUUGAGAUGGAAAUGUGGUACAACGCAUUUGACAUAGUGAACACCAACGAGGAUGAUACUUAUGCCGUUACGUCUGGUUGUGGAAGACAGCCUACUAUUACCAUUUUGAACCUAAAAAGGAGACAAAUUAAGGAGACAAUUUUAAUGGAUUCGCAUACUUCUGGGAUAGCACUUAGAGAAAAUAAUUUGAUAUAUUCUUGUUACGAAGGAAUACGAAUGAUCAAUCCGUCUGACCCGUCUAGAAGUGACGGCAUAGUCUGGGACAAGGAUACGCCCCCUGACUGUUAUGUCGCAACAUUUGAGGACAAAAUAUAUCACUCAAAUUGGGAAAAAAACACGGUUACAUGUUAUAAUCUACCAGGUAAACCUCGAUGGACAUUCCAAAAUGAAAACGUCCUGAAGACACCUCGUGGUAUUGAUGUAGAUCGUGAUGGCAAUGUGUACGUGGUGGGGAACAGCUCACACAAUGUUGUUCUUAUCUCCCCUGAUGGACAACGACAUAGAGAAAUAUUAACAGCACGCGAUGGUCUUAAAGAUCCCACAUCACUUCAUUAUAAUGGACCAACAAAGCAGUUGCUUGUUGCUAACUUUCAAAACAUUUUCGCCUUGUUUGAUUUGUAUUGCAAACAUUAAGCUUUCAUUAAGCACUGUCUUUAUUUCAAUCAAUUUUGUUUAAAGCAAUUUACUAGUAUAUAUACAUUCAGGCAUCGCAGAUCAAAUUUAUUCGUUCAUAGUGUGUUAAUUUACGUUUUUUGAUUGAGUUAAGCCUUCCAAUUAAUAUUUUAUCGUGUGUUUUUCUAUGUUGUGAUGUUAUACUAUUGUUACAGAAAAAAGAGAAGUUUG
rnacentral:lncRNA from 1 species